CACGAAACUGUAUGAGCUAACUAAGACUAAAACUAUGUUGCAAAAUAGCUAAGAAAUUAUAGUUAGGGGUGAAAGGCCUUUCAAACACAGUGAUAUCUUGAUUUUUCCGAAAAGUGUUGAGCACGAUUAAAAAUUUAGAGCGAUAAGGUUUUAAAUAAUCAUUAAAUAUGAUUAGUUAAAUAUGUUGAUAUAAAAAUCUAUAAAAAAAAGAAAUUAAUAUUAAUAAUUGAAAAUUAUGAUGUGUGUAGGGAAAUAUUUGUUAAUUUUGUUAAAAGUUGAUAAUGUUAAUAUUAGUAAUUUGGAGAUACCAAUAGUGAACUCGGCAUUAAGCUUUCAACUGUUUACCAAAAACAUAGCUACGUGUAUUAUACGUAGUAAUUUCUGCUCAAUGAGAUAUUUAAAUAGCCGCAGUACCCUGACUGUGCAAAGGUAGCGUAAUCAAUUGUCUUUUAAUUAGAGACGAGUAUGAAUGAACAUAUGGGGGCUUUCUUUACCAUUGGUACAAGUAGAAUUUACUUAUCGGGUGAAAAUACUCGUAGAUAAAUAAUAGACGAGAAGACCCUUGAAAUUUUUAACAGCUUUUUGUUGGGGCAACAUAGUAGCAGGUAACCUACUAGAAUUAACCAGAAAUUAUGUGGUGUGAUUAAAUUACUCUAGGGAUAACAGCGUAAUCUUUGAUUGUUUGUGACCUCGAUGUUGGAUUAGGGAAUUGUCGCUUAGAA
rnacentral:rRNA from 1 species